UUAACACUUAGUGAUUAUAUUAGCGAUGUACAAUAACUUCUCACUUUGGAUUCUUUUUGAUGUAUUAUGGAGGUAAAAAUCAAUAUUUUCUACCAAACUGGAGAAAUUUAGAUGAUCUAUUUUUGAGAUAUAGGUUCAGAGAAAAAUUGAUGAUAAAGACUGGAAUAACUCUAGUUCCCCCAAGUCAACAUCUGAUUGGCCCUUAGAAUCAGAAUUUAGGAAGAGAGAGGUUUGGGAGACCACGCAGUCCUGCUUCCUCACUUCGCAGAUACGGAAACCAGGCCUAGCUGGAAUUUCCCCAGAUCACACAGCCAGGAAACAGCAGGCUCAAAACUAGGGCCUUCUGAGUCCCCAGUGCAGCAUGCAUAUGUGUCUGCCUUGUUUCAUUAUGUAAUGGUACAGCGAGUUUGGAGGCAUACAAAAACAGACAGACACCAAUCUUGCCUUCAAGGCGUUUACAAUUUAGCAGGGGAGAUAACACAUGUAUAUAAAAAACUUACUAGACAAAGUAAACAGCAGUAUGCUCUAUAAGACAGGUAUGGAUUAAAAAGGAAUCUUUAAGUCAUUGAACCCUGAGAUUCUUUUUUUUUCAUUUUUUAAAACAAUAGUAAUCAAACUUGUGAAAUAGUGAACUUCCUCCAUUUUGCAAGAUUCCUCGAAACCAAGUACUUGGAAUAUAACUUAGUUAAGGAUUGCACAACACACACCAUUUGAGUAUCUGAUUUGGAAAACUAAGCCACAGAGCCAGACCACACAAUGCACACUGGUUGGAAUCUGCUGGGCAGGUAUCUCCCCGUCUGUCCAGGCAAGCCAAAUCAAAUAAGGCCCUGAGUUAAAAAGGAAGGAAAAGUAACAGAUAAAUCUGUUGACCACCACUCUAGGAGGCCAAGGCCUCUUUCCUCCCCAUUAGUGGUGGCUUGCUCUAAGAUAAAAAUACCACACUUAAGCUGUGAUAGAGGAAAGCCCGUGGUUUGGGACCCAACUACAAAGUAACAGCAAAAGAGAGAUUAUUACUCCCUAGUGACUCUCUUUUUGGUAUAAUUAGAAGAAUAGAAAGACCACUGAAGAGUGGGAUUUGUGAGAAAUAUGGGUCAUGUGUCUGCAGCACUAGUUGCUUGCAGAAUUGGCUAUGUGGGUUGGCACACAGCACCGUGAAUAUUAGAAACCACAAAUCUCCAGGGUUUCUUGAACAAAGUAAAAGGCCUUGUCUUCAGAUUGCCAGGUUGGAGGCUGGCUUGUGGAAGAAGCCCCUGGGUGAGCUCCAAAGCUACCUACGCAUUUCUGCCUUCUCCGUCUCUUUCUUCUCCUCCUCCUCUCCCUCUCCCCAUCCCUCUCCUCUUAUUUUGGAUAUUGCAUCUUGGUGGGUCUAACUGUAGCUUUGCUUAUGCCAAUACCCCCCUGCCCCACCCCCUGGGGAAGCAGGCCCUCUCCAUGACAACUGCCGACGCAGAAUCCACAGAGCUCUGGACAAUGGGACAAACCAUAUUUCUAUGAACAAAGCCAAGGAAUCUGAUGGACAAGAGAAUCCAGAAUCUCUGCAAUGGGCAGAAGAGAGGACCAGACUUCAUGGUUGAUCUCCCCACAGACCAUACCAACAGGGCAAAGCCCUUCUACUGUCAUUGGAGUAUAUUGACCCAUCCCUGACAGAAAGUCUGUGUAAGCCCGAGGAGGAGGAACAUGCCGCAAACCUGCUGCAGAGCAUUAACAAGAACAGAAUUAAAAAGGAUCACUUCUGGGACUCAUCACACAACUUGGAAAUCAUGUUCAAUAAAAGAAAAGAUAAUUUGGGGCCACACUACCUGAAAUGAACAUCUGACACUCAGUCACUGGUCUGGAUUUAGAAAACUGCUUUGAUCCCCGGAGGGAAGAUUGUUAAUGAGUAUUUUAAAGGACAAGAUUGGCGAAGCAUGAUAGAGUGGAAAAGGGUACUGAUUUUGAAGGGUCCCAGUCUUGCUUCCACUUCUGUAAGCAAGUAGAACUGACUUUGAACAAGACACAUUACACUGCCCUGAGAAAACGUCCUCAUCUCUAACAUGGGAGGUGAAGUUAACCCUCUAGUCCAUCCAACAAUCAAAUCUAGGCCUUAAUGACUAUGAAAACAUGGGAAAAAAUUUAAAACAAGAGCAGGUAAUGCUUGCACCUUUUCGCUACCUGAAAGGAAGGUCAGACAACCUUAGUAUAAAAGGUAACUUUUCUUACUUGCAUGCUAACAAUCAAUGCAUAAUUUACAUAGCAAUGCAUACACUUUAUAUAGUUCAAGAGAUCAUCGUUGACUGCCUGAACUUGAUAUGCUUCAUCCUUGUCAUGUCCUCCUCACUAAAUACUAACUACCCAAAGUGAUCAAACCCCAAAUGUAAAAAUAAUCAUCUGAUAAAUCACAGACAACAAGGAGGUGAAAAAAAGAACUCAGUCAAACAUUUUUGAGUUCAUAAAAAAAUUGAAUAGCAUAAUCUACCACUAUGUUCCCAUCCCCCUGCUAAAACAAUAUUUUAUCACUCUGGCUUUAUUUAUUCCCAGUCCUCCCCAACAUACUUAUUUUCUGGAGCAUUUUAAAGUAAAUCUUGGAUAUCUUGUCAUUUCAUCCACAACUACUUCAGUCUUCAUCUCAACUAAUAAGGAUUUUUUAAAAACCACUACCACGACAGUAUUAUGCCUGACAAUAUUAAAAAAUUAUUUACUAUCAUCUAAAGAACCAAUCAAUAUUCAAAUUUCAUCAAUCAUCUAAAAAUUUUUUUUUCUUUCAGUUUUUGGCUUGAAUUAGCAUCUAAACAAGCUAAGAGGUGAAACUGAUUUCACCCAAUUCACAAUCCUUUGUCUUUUAAAUAUUUCUUUUAGACGCUGACAUUACUUAGACACAAUGUAUCUGGAACACAGAUAAUGUGAAGGUCAGCUUCAUCGCAAUAUUAUUUGAAAUGUCUUAUUCUAUGAAUCAGAUAUAAAUGUAGUUAAAGGCUCAGAACUGGAAAAAUCUCAAGUAAUUCUCAGUUUUCCCAAAUGCAUAAAUGAUUUAGGCAACCUUAAUGGAAUGCUUUAAAGAUAUUUUGCUAAAUCUUACACCAUUCCUAGGAAGAAUACCUCUGACAGACUUUAGCAGCUUUUAUUUUGCCCAUAUAAAAGCUGGAUUUCUUAGACCGUGGAGCAGCCUAACAGCACAGAUAGUAUUUUCAGUUGUAGUUUCACCUGCACCUUAAAAAGAAAUCUACCUGCAUAUGCUGGCAACGAGGACAUCUUUGAAAACAGAGCUAAGAGCCUCAAACUGUCAACUCCGACUUUUGGGAAGAAGGGAGGUGAACAGUUUCUCCAUUCAGCUUCCAUGAGGCCUCUCUGGUAACACACAGGCACUGCUGUGACUCAUAACCAGAAAUACUGUUUUAUAACACCAGUCUGUGUUUUGUAACACACACUGAAAGAAAAAAAAAACUAUUUAGAAACCAAAACCAAGCCCUACAUCUGGGCAUUGGUAUCAAGAUCUCAAGAUGUCAGAGUGGCUAUUUAAUUCAGAUAAAGUAGGCAAGUCCUUAUCCCUUUCCUUGGCAAGAAAGUGGAGGCUUCCUGCCUGCUGCACAUGCCCACAGGAGGAGCAACCAUGAAUUUAAUUUUCUUAAAACAGAAGCAUUUUCAGACUUGUGUUUUCCUGGACAGCUGCCUAGUGGCUGUAAUCCAUAAUAAGGGCGUGUAAUUGACAGUAAUGUGAAUCACUCACUGAAAUUCUGGCAAAAAAAAAAAAUAGAGGAGUUAUUUUUUUUUUUUUUCAGGAAAAAAUUAAAGAGCAGAUUCAUCCUGUCCAUUGAAAAUAGCAAUUACUUUACAUUUCAGCUCAUUAGCUACCUUUAUAUAAAAAAAUCACUGUAAUUUGUACUAACUAUCAGCAAGUGUUGUAAAGAAGUGGUGCAGUUGCACAAGGCAUGCAAUCGGAUGUGCUGGGCCAGGCACAAUCUGUAAAAUGGCAAAUGUAGAUGAGUUACUUGAUAUAGCAUACAUGGGAUUCCUGGCCCAAGAGUGAGUUACAGGACACUGUCCUAACAGUGAUUUUGCCACUUAAAAAGCUGCUAUCUGCCUGGGACCUUGUAAUUAUUAUGGUAAUACCCAGGGCAGACUGAUCAAGCUGCCAUUGAUGUCUAUGGGCAGUUUCAGAAUUCCUUUCACUCAGACACAGGGAUCUCCAAAAGAAUGGUUGGGGAUUUUCCCAGGUAGAAGCUGUUGGAACCAUGGAAACUUUGAGACCAGGUAAAGGGUUUCUCCCAUCUAUUAAUUCUCUUUGAAUAAGGGGAAGAAUAAUCUCAAUUAACUUCACUAUCAACCUGAAAGGGCCCCCUCUUUUCCAAGGCAGAGGCACGGGAACUAAACACUGGAAAGCUACGGAAGAUUUAAUUCCAUUUAGAUAAACCCUGACUCCAUCAGAACCCGAGAGGUUCAGAUAUUUUUCUGAAACUUCAGCACCUGUGAAACUAGCAGCCCUUGUCCAGAACUACCUGGUAUCUCAAGCUUCUGGUCCCAGAGGGAACAGGGGUAUUUUGACUUGUGAAAAUCCCACGAAUGCAUGGAGAAAAACUUGGGACUUUAGAAUGCUGAGGUCUGUGUUAGGAAGAUGUAUAUUGAACCAAAGAGUGGAAACACUUAACCUCUUUUUCUCAGUCAACCACACUCUAUGAAGAAGGCUUGGAUUUAUUUUCUCCUAUUGGGAUCUCCCAUUCUUAGAAGAAAAAUGGAAGUCAGAUUUCAUUAAAAUAGAGGUAAUGUUGGGAUUUUGAUGAAUGAAACUAAAAUUCAUUUUGUGCUUUAUCAUUAAUUAUUUCUGAGAAGCUUUUUCUCAUAUGACAACAGUUGGGGGAUGGUAUUAUUAGCUUAUGAUGGUUCCCAUCUUUGAUAGCCACCACUAAUCUCCUACUUAAUUCUGGCUUAAUUUGCAAGUAGUUGCUAACAGGCAAAAUGAGGGUGGAGUCUCAUAAACCACUAAAAAGAGAGACUUGCUAUGCAUAUAAAUAGGCCCUGCAAAAAUAUUUCAGAUACUGUAUCUCAAUUAUUAGACAGUAGCAAACUGUCAAAAUCUAAAAAGUAACAUGGAAUAUGUAUAACUAGUUCUUUGCAGGCAUUCUUUUUGUUCCUAUAUGAAUACAUUUUAUGUGAGCCCAAAUGGUUGGAAAUGUAUUAUUCAUUUUUAUAAUUGAGAAAAAUGUGUUAACGCUCUGGAAUGUCCAUGUGUGGAAAAAUAAAACGUUAUAUGGAAUUGCACACACAUAUGAUUUAUAAUGCAUGCUUCCAGGACCAGAAAUCCUAACGAAGAACCUUAUUCAACAGAAAAAAACAUUUUUUUUUCUUCAGUAUGUGCAAUUCUGGUAUACUGUAAUGCUGAGGCCAAGCAUAUAUUUUAUUAGUUUAAAUCCUAGCUAAGCAAUAAAAUAUGUGUCAUUUUAAAUAAAAGAAAACAUGUUUUUCACAAAAGCUAGAUU
rnacentral:lncRNA from 1 species